AGAAGGCUUGGAUAUUAUUGACCUCCUGAAAACAGAUUCUGUUGAUGUGCUUGGACCCCCAAACAGCGAGUUUGUGGGUUUUGAUUUUUUUAAAAAAAAAUUCUUCACCUGACAGCAAGAGGAUUUAUUGUACACGAGUUACAUUUGGCCACAAAGCGUCUCGUGGUGAUCCCAUUCCCCACCUGUUACAGUGGUGGACUUGGAGAAGGAAAUCCCAUGCAUGGAUUUCUGCAAUGCAAAUUUACCACCAGCAUCCAGACAAACUGGUUCCAGGCUGUCCAUAUCUACCAUUGUGGAUUCUAUGUGUUGUUUAGGCCAAAAGGCCGAAGAAACCCUGGGACUCAUAGGAGCAAAUAGGCUUCAUGAUGUCCUGACAAAAAAUAAUAUGUUCAACAGGAAAAAAAUUGUUGGGAACAUCCUUGGAGAAAUAAGGCAUGUUCCAAAGAUUUGUUCUGCCAAGAGUCCUGCAGGUCCUGACAACCUCGCUUCUGCCCUUUGGAGGAGAGAGAGUGAUCCUGCCUUGUCCAUGUCCGUGGCAUCUGACACCCACAAAUGGCAAGGGGAGAGCUCCUCUAGGUGCUUCUCUCCAGAUUUAGACGAGAUGCUGAAGAUCAGCUGGCUGUGGAAGUCUGCCCAACAGUGCUAUGCUGAGGAGGACUACAACAGCCACAAAAAUUCUGAGGAGGCAGAGAGCACUGUCUCACUGAGUGGCUCCU
rnacentral:lncRNA from 1 species